rnacentral:lncRNA from 1 species
UCACCCCUCUUCCCCUCUCACAGCCACCUCCACAAUGUGAUGGUCCAUCUGCAGCAGGAGAACAAGAAGCUGAAGAACGAGAUUGAAGAGAAGAAGCUAAAGGCUGGGAACCCGAGGAUCUGUGCCAAGGUCCUAGGCCCGUGCAAACUGGAGCCGUCCCAGAAGGGAAAGCUGUGCGGUGCACUGGGCUGGAGAGGAGUAUGCCAGGACCCACUGCCGAAAAUGGACCUCACCAAGUACACCGGGGUGCCUCACUGCUCAGGAUCCUCCUAUUGCUAGACUUGGCUCUUCACCCUAAGCGUCUCUUCUACACGUAUACAGAGGACCGUGAGUUCCCGCCCCUCUUUCUUGACCGGAAUCAGCUCCUACAGUCGUCCGUCAAGGCCCCUGCCUCGUUUGCACCAUGCUCAUGCAUUAUUGUUUUGCCUACUUCCUGAAGUGGAGUUGUGGUACCUCACUCCCCCCAGACUCUGGGCCCAGACUCUGAAAUAAAGAUACAAACA